rnacentral:lncRNA from 1 species
UGCUGGGAGUCUCGAAAAACAAACUUCUUCUUUUUUUCUUUUGCGGAAAGGAAAAAAACAUCUAGAUCUCGAGAUGACGUACUGGGAGUCUGACUCACUUCGGAAACUUUCAGUUUUGUGCUAGAUGUUGUUCCACACACUUGACUAGUUUUCCCCCCGAUUUGGUUACCCUCUUAUAAUUGUGCCUUUUCUGCAGUUCGAAGUCCUACUAGUUUUCUUUCUUUUUUCUACCUUCGAGAUGCUAAUUUGUUUAUCUCUGUUUUUAUUUCGUUCUUAUUUCAUAACUUUAUCAAUCAAAUUUCAUUGCGAUUUCAAUAAUUCAUUUAAAUAUCAAUUCACAUAUGUAAAUUCGUGCCACUUGUUGGCUUGUGAGUGGACCAACCGGCUCCGGUGCCCACCAGAGAGCGUAGAAAUGACUUUGCCAUGGCUAGGUUCCGGGUAAAAUUAUACGUAUACACUGUUUACGGUUUGGUCUUCUAUUUUCAUACUGUUCAUUACUUAAUUAUUUGACUGAUACUUGUGUACCGAAGAGGGUCGCCA